AAAAGAUAAAAUUGAGUAAUACAAUAAACUCGUCUUUAAAAUAUACCUAUAUCGUUUGGCGCUGUAAUUUAACAUCGAUCAUUCCUAAAACUUAAUUUUAUUUCAUUAUUAGUUCACUUUGCUCACCACCAAAAAUGGAAAGAGUGCAGAAAAUUUCUUUGCAAUAGUCUAAAUUUUUAAUUAAAUCUGGCACGCUUCAAAUGUGCAUUUGCAUUUCGUAAACGAAUGAAAGGGAUAUCUGAUUUAAUAAUAUGAUCGAUAAGUUUUGUUGGUUGGAUUCGAGGACCUAAAAGAUAGUUAGUCAAUAAACGCGCAAUUAUGCAACAUACCAGUUAUUACUUGAGGAGCUGGGAGUUCAUCCAAAAAUUCGGUUAUUAUAGAUGGUAACGGUACCGGAACAGUUGGAAGUGCUGAAGUAGGUGGAUUCGAUGCUCCUUGAGUGUUUGCUAAUUCCAAAGACGCAGGAAGUAAACGAGUAUCUUCCAUUUCGACGUUACUUUUAGAAGAGGUAGAGGCUAUAGAAACUUCAUCAUCUUCCCUGUUGUUAUGAACAUGGCCCGGGAAUCCAUUUCCUCCAUUUAAGCGAACAGAUAGUUCUCUAAUUUUUUCCGCUUCUUUUGUUUCCCGU